rnacentral:tRNA from 1 species
UCUUCUUUAGUAUAAUUAGUAUUUUUAUUUUUCGUGUAAAAGGUUAAAGAAGAU